rnacentral:lncRNA from 1 species
UCAUGGAGACAAUAAAAAUUCAGAUUUUUUUCUAGAUACAUAAAGCAUUAAUUUAAUUUUUUAAAAAGAUCUGUCUCUCAGAGGCCUGCACUAAGUCCUUUGAUGUUAGGUAGCAGGUGAAAGUCCCCAGACCUGCAAGGUUUGAGUAUCAUUUGAAAGCAAGACCACUUAGCUAAACUCCCACUCUGUGUGAAGCCACCAAAUUGGACAGAACUGCUCAAAACAUAGAAUUUCAAAAAUCUAAUAAAAAUGAAACGAAAGCAGUCAAGUAUAGAAGAAAAAAAGCAAUCAAGUCAAGAGGCAGGCAUGGAGAGGCUCCUUUCUAUUUGUUUCUGAUAGGGCCAGAGGGGCUCAUUGCAUUUCCCUCUGUUCUUGAUGGCCAGACCCUCGUGGCAUCAGAGAUGAACUCUCCUUUUCUAUUAAUGACUAUGGGAAUGCUGGCUGUGCAGAGAGGUCUCUCUGGUACCUUCCCCCACCCAGAAUAUUCUGCUAUCCUCUUGGUUUCAGCUCGGACUGACCUGGAAGAAGACCCUGAGGAGAACCCGGGCACACAGCAGCCAUUCCAGUCCUCAGCUUCAAGGGGGCUCACGAAGGUUGUGGAUCCUUGCCCAGCCUGCAGUGGGGACCUGGUGUGGCAUUGAGUGGCUGUGAGUGCUCAGUGUCCCCCAUCUCAUGCUAAGCACAGCGAAGUAGGGGGAGAUUGCGUAGUGUGCUGAUGGAGCAGUUGCCUCCACCUGGCUGCGUGUCCCUCCGUCAUGUGACAGAAAAGAAGAAGGCAAUGGUGUUUUUCUGUAGCAAGUCACUAUUUAUGGAAGAGGAGACCCUUUAUCUGCAUCGCAAUUCUGAAGAUUCCACUUUGUUCCAGUCAUUGUUGUGGGCACACUUUCAACAUUUGAUUAAGAGCCAUAAGGGUGGCUUCCUCCACCCACAGAAAAAUUCCUCUAAGGAAUCAUGAGACCGUCGACAUUUAGCAGCUGUUUAAAAGACUGUUUAGACUCCUGGGAUGAUGAUGGGGAAUUCCUGGAAUUAUGGUCUUGGGCAAGAAGGGAACUCAAGUAGGAAAGUCAGCAAUCUAAAUUUCAAACCUCAGGGAACCUUCUUUGUAUAACCUGAUAAUCUCCUUCGCUCAACACAGUGCUUGCUGAGUGAAGGAGUGUAAUGGAAAAGAAAGUUAAUAAUCCCUUGUGCUCUGGAUCAAAAAUGAGGUAGGAGACCAAAUUUUCCAUCAAACUGGUUGGGUCCAAUCACUUAAUGCAAAAUGCUUACUUCAGGGUCUGUAGCACUUGUUGAUCAAUGUACCUAACAGGUCUUAAUAGAGAAAGUGAUCAAUUCAAGCAGUGUCUUCCCAAAUUCUAUAUAUAUAUAACAGAUAUUGCUGCAUAACAAACCAGACAACGCUUAAUAGUUUAAGGCAACCGUUUUAUUAUUCCCCAGAGUUCUAUGCGUGGACCAAGGUCACUUGGGCCCUAGUCUUGUGAUGUCACUUGGACCACAGUCAUUGGGAGGUUCACCAGGUGGAAGCCUCCAUGACAGCUCAAUCCCAUAGCUGCCAGUGGGUACGGCACCUACACGUGGCUGCUUGUAUGGCCUGGGAUUUUCACAGCACAGCAGCAGGGGCUGAGAGGCAGAGUCCUAGGAGUGAUUGUCCCCAGAGAGCAGAAGCAAAAGCUCUCAUCAGUCUUCUAAGAGGCUGAGCUGACAAUGGGCACAGCACCACUCUGCCAUCAUCUAUGGCUUAAGCAUUCACAGGGCCAGGCUAAAUUCAGGCUGUCGGAAGAUAAACUCCACCUCUCAAUGGAGAGAGUUCAAAGCAACUGUGGCCAUCUUUACCCCAUCAGCUUUCUUGCCAAGAAAUAAAGCUCUACAUGACACAUCAACUUUCAUUUAUUUAACAUUUAUCUCAAAAGACAUGAGUUAACUGGCAAAUAAUAUCACAUUCAUAGUAAAAGUCUAAGAAAUUAACAUCCUAUACUUAUUGGGCAUUGUUUACUUUCUAUAUGUUUUUGUUUUGUUUUUUGAGACAGUCUCACUCUUGUCGCCCAGGCUGGAAUGCAGAGGUGCAAUCUCAGCUCAUUGCUACCUCCACCUCCCACAUUCAGGCAAUUCUCGUGCCUCAGCCUCCCGAGUAGCUGGGAUUACAGGUGUGCACCAACACACCCAGCUAAUUUUUAUAUUUUUAAUAGAGACAGGUUUUGCCAUGUGGGCCAGGCUGGUCUUGAACUUCUGGGGUUAAGUGAUCUGCUGUCUCGGCCACCCGAAGUACUGGGAUUACAGGUGUGAACCACUGUGCCUGGCCUAUAUGGUAUUCUUAAACCCCUUGGUUGAGCUUUGGCCAUGGAGACUUGGAACAGAAUGUUAGGAGCUUUACAGGCCACAAGGACAGGUUGGUUUUCUGGGUUCCUGGGCACACAGCCUAACUCAGAAGAAAAUAAGAAACAAACAUGAGAAAAACAAGCCAGAAAAACCUGAUUCACAGGAGGCGUGUCACUGAGUUGUACUUAGUUUAUAUAAAGCAAUGGUUCUCUUCAAACUCUUAGUCUCAGGACUCCUUUAUGUUCUCAAAAACUGAGGAUCUGGCUGAGCGAGGUGGCGCACACCUGUUCUCCCAGCACUUUAGGAGGCCAAGGCGGGUGGAUCACUUGAGGUCUGGAGUUUGAGACCAGCCUGGCUAACAUGGCAAAAAACCAUCUCUACUAUAAAUACGAAAAUUAGCAGGGUGAUCAUGGCUCACGCCUGUAGUCCCAGCUACUCAGGAAGCUAAGGCUGGAGAAUCGCUUGAGCCCGGAGGUUGAGGCCACACUGAGCCAAGAUUACGCCACUGCACUCCAUCCUGGGUGACAGAGUAAGACCCUGUCUCAAAAAAAAAAAAAAAAAAAAGAAAGAAAGAAAAAACCUGAGGAUCCUAUGCAGCUUUUGUUUCUGAUGGACUAGUUCUACUAAUAUUUACAAUACUAGAAAUUAAAAUUGAGAAGUUUCAAAAAUACAUAUUCACUUUAAAAGCACAAUAAAAAUUCCAUUACAUAAAUUCCAUAUUGUUAUGAAAGUAUCUAUAUUUUCCAAAGCCCCAAAGACAAUGAGUAGGAACGACAGUGUUUUGGUGUUUUGCAAAUCUCCCUGGCGUCAGGGUUAAUGGAAGACAGCUGGGCUGUCCUUAUCUGUUCUUACAUUUAGGCUGAAUUUGUUACAAUGUGUUGCCAUGGCUGAAGUAGAGGAAGAAUGUCUGGCCUCACAGAAGUAUGGAAGUGUAAAAAGGAGGAGUAUGUAAGCAGACUUUUUAGAUAAUAGCAGGUUAGCUUGAGUUUCUUGACAAGUGUGGUUUCUUACUGGUUAGGUGCACUGUAGAAUCUGGAACAGACACCUGAACGUUCUUUAGGUGACUUUUAGGGAUGUUUUAGCUCCCCUGCCACCUGGGGCCCACAGGGAGACACCCAGGGACGAGAUCUCUCUGAGCCUUGAAGACAUUUGCAGCCCAGCCCUCCCUGCUCCUUCCUGCUUGUCUAAAACUUCGCAAUUCUGUGAGAUCAUAGACAAAUUGCAUCUCUUCUGUGAAGGCUGCUCUCACCUUACUAAACAACAAUUAUCUCUUACUUUUCUCAAUUCAAAUAACGUUAUUGUCGGUACCACUCAUUUGGCCCUUAGUAAAUGCUGUCAAUUUUUAUUGAUUGAUUGAUUGAGAUGGCACAAUCUCGGCUCACUGCAACCUCCACCUCCUGGGUUCAAGCGAUUCUCCGACCUCAGCCUCCCGAGUAGCUGAGACUACAGGCGUGCACCACCAUGCCCAGCUAAUUUUUGUAUUUUUAGUAGAGACGGGGUUUGACCAUGUUGGCCAGGAUGGUCUCAAUCUUUUGACCUCCUGAUCUGCCCACUUCAGUCUCCCAAAGUGCUGGGAUUACAGGCAUGAGCCAUCGUGCCUGGCUGAUGCUGUCAAUUUUAAAUUAAUUGGCAGAUAACCACUUGCUAAUUUUUAAUUAAGCUAAUUGAAAACAGGUUCUUCAAUGAGAACACUUGGACACAGGAAGGGGAACAUCACACAUCGGGGCCUGUCA